GCGGCUGUAUCCGGAAGGAACGGCACGAUUUCCUCUUUUCAAGAACACUUGAUCCGCUCUCUGCUCUUAUCCUUGCGGAAAGAGACAGAAAA
rfam:Novibacillus thermophilus strain SG-1, complete genome.